AGCAGCCGCGGUAAUUCCAGCUCCAAUAGCGUAUAUUAAAGUUGUUGCAGUUAAAAAGCUCGUAGUUGAAUUUCGGGGUCAGUAGGUUGGUCGUGCCACUGGUAUGCACUGGUCUCACUGAUUCCUCCUUCCUGAUGAGCCGUAAUGCCAUUAAUUUGGUGUUGCGGGGAAUCUGGACUGUUACUUUGAAAAAAUUAGAGUGUUUAAAGCAGGCUAACGCUUGAAUACAUUAGCAUGGAAUAAUGAAAUAGGACGAUCGAUCCUAUUUUGUUGGUUUCUAGGAUUGACGUAAUGAUUAAUAGGGAUAGUUGGGGGCAUUAGUAUUCAAUUGUCAGAGGUGAAAUUCUUGGAUUUAUUGAAGACUAACUACUGCGAAAGCAUUUGCCAAGGAUGUUUUCAUUAAUCAAGAACGAAAGUUAGGGGAUCGAAGACGAUCAGAUACCGUCGUAGUCUUAACCAUAAACUAUGCCGACUAGGGAUCGGAUGAUGUUAAUUUUUAAUGA
rnacentral:rRNA from 1 species